rnacentral:misc_RNA from 1 species
AGCUGAUAUUCCUGCAUUGCUGCAAGUUCUAUUGCUUCUUCCACAGACAACGCACGCUAUCCGUUCGAAGAAAUUCCCCAUUUACAUUCCUCUUCAGCAAGCGCCAAGAUAACUGAUGAUGGUAGAGCCCACGCAACCCACCUUCGAAGUAAAUUGGGAGUCCUUAUCCAAAACCAUAAAGUGAUGAAGAUAAAAGAAUAUUA